GUAGAAGAAAAUGUAUUGCCACUUGUUUGCAUGACUCACAAUCCUGAAAGCAUGACUAUAGCAAGGCAAUGGUAACACACUAGUCAUGAGCACUAUGUGAUCACGAGGCAAGUUCACAGAAUUCAUUCAUAGCAUCAAAAGAUCACUGGAAACAAAAUCACUUGAACAAAUAAAGGUGCACCACAUACUGACAUCUUUGUCUUCUAGUACUUCACAAAUUCACAAGAGUACCACAUGGUGACCAUAUAAUAUAUCUAUUUACAAGAGUACCAUUUAGUUCACAAAUUUACAACGCUAAACAAAACAAGUUUACUGCAUACCACCUGAUGGGUCUUACUCUCGUUGUACACCAUCCGGUGGUGGGCACAGACCUGGGAAAAAAUAAACAAUAAUAAAAACUUUUGCAAAAACCGAACAACAUUGAUUAUGAAGAAUUUCUAAAACACUUUUGUGAUGUCAAAUAACCUCCAUGCAUGUUGCAUCAUCUAAUUCCCCUGAUCGAUUUUGUUGUUUCUUGACCUAUAAGACCAUGUAAAAAAAUCAUUUGUUGAUUUACCACAAUAUGACUUGCAAGACACAACCAAAAGAGUUAGUCCGUUUCUCAAAUGUUAUAAUCGUGCCAUUUUUUUGGCUGGCUGGUAUUCCUAAAUUGUGGUGACUAGUCCAUGAGCUAGUCAGCUCUAUGUCAGAAACUUAUCUGUACUUGGCAUGAAGAGCAAAUGUGUGCGAGGCUGACAUUCUUGUUAGUGAACGGACCUCUUAAGAGCCAUG
rnacentral:lncRNA from 1 species